ensembl:lncRNA
GCAGAAUAGUCUUUGCAGGCUAAAAAGUAGAUAUGACAAUAAUGUAGAGGUUUCCUCAUACAGAUACAUGCAGAAAGUUUGUUACAAAUAAUACAUGAGAGUAUGAGGGACAACUGUAUCCAUCAGACCUGAGUCGUUCAUUAAACAAUAGUCUUAACUCACUCACUUGUAUGGCAAUGUAUGAGCAGAUCAUAUCAAUCCAACAGUCAAAAUGCAAAGUGUGAGGUAAACUAACCAUAAAAUGCAUUAAGCGAAAGCCAUUCAUACAUGUAUGGGACCAACCCACAGACAUGACAUAUCAAAUACAUUACUAGGAAGUAAACAACCCUAAUUCAGAUGUGAAGAAAAUGGACCUUUUCUGACACUAAGGUUAUAAGGUGUCAGUGUACUGUAUGUGGGUAUGUCAUUCGCCUAAGUCAUUUGACCUGACAGAUACUCUCAAUGUGAUAAACAUUCUAAUUAAACGGUGAACACAAAUGUCAACAUAGCUACACAAUUCCUGUCUAAAGUUGUGGUAUUUUUCACAAUGUCACUAGUAGGUGGGGAUGUGGGGUACAGUUCCUUCUGCAAGAACUGCAGGUAACACUUCCUAUGAAUACGCUCUUCAUAAUGUGUUACAAGUGUAUUUAUAACACCUUAUAAUCUAUGAAUAUAUACAUCAUAAUGCAUGACAUAGGCACUAAUGGCUAAUACAUGUCUAUAUUCCUUCAGCAUUUUAAGCAGGCAGCAUAAUGCCUUAUGAUUAUGAAGCUAAGUGGUAUGACCUCAUGAAAGUCUCCUUAGGAAAAUGUGUCAGAGGGCUAUACUGUAACGACUUCACGUAGGAGUUCCGCACUCCUGUUAAAGGGAUAGUUCACCCUAAUUACAAAAUAUAAUUUGCUUUCUUUACCCCGUAAACAGUCUAUGGACAAGCUCAGACAGUAAUCCAUGCUUUGGUUUCGGAUGGGUGGACUUAUAACGCGAACGUCUAACAACCCAAAGGUUGCGUGUUCGAAUAUCAUCCCGGGAUAUUUUAGCAUUUUCGCUAAUUUGCAACUUUGCAAUUACUUACUACUUUUUAGCUUAAUGAGCACAUAAUGUAUGAUAUAACGAUCCUAAUGUGGCAUCUGGCAUAGUAAUACUUUGCUUCAUAAGGCAUUACACAUCCUGGUGAUAAUGCUUUAUGUAGUUAUAGAUGUUCUUGAGCAGUUAUUAGCACCUAUGUUGUGCAUCCUGAUGCAUUAUGCAUAGAAGGUGUUAUUAAUGCUCCUAUAAUGCAUUAUAAAGAGAACAUCCAUAUGAAGUGUUUCCUGUUUGAACUGACCAAUCAUGAUUUCCUAUGAAUACAGUGAUUUAAAUAAGUCUGAUGUAAUAUCAUCUAGAGUCUAAAAUGGAACAUCAAAGUUCUUUACUGAAAGUAGGAUUUCAUGUGUUAAAGGGGACAAAUUAUGCAAGUUAUUUUAACUGACAUGCUAACUCUCAAUUCAGAAAUAAUGAAUAAUUGCUUUGGUAAAAUAGAGCUUCUUAGACUGGGCCCUGUGAUAAUGAGGCCUACUCUAAAUAACGUCUAGUCAUUGUUUAGCUAUUUGACAUUGAGACCUCAUGACCUUGGAUAUGUCUAUACUAGAGAGGUUAACGUUUUAAGCAUCUUUUCAG